rnacentral:lncRNA from 1 species
UCAAGCAUACGAAGUUCAUUCCCAGUCUAAGAUCAAACUGGACUGAGGGUUGUGGCAACAGGAUCGGUAGCACGCUAGGGGGAUCGGGUCGAUUCCUGGCUUGCGCAUUCUACCUCUCCGACCGACUGAGUGCUCGAAUGCCCGUUUCAUGGGUUGGCUUAGGCAUAGGUAGUUCAUUCCAUGUCUAAGCCCUAGUCGGACCGAGGGUUGUGGCAGUGGGAUCGGUAGCACGCAGAGGGGGAUCGAACCGAUCCCCAGCUUGCGCAUUAUGCCUCUCUGGCCAGCUCAGCGCCCGAACGCUCAUUUCAUGGGUUGACUUAGGCAUACGGAGUUCAUUCCCAUUCUAAGAUCGGACCGGACCGAAGGUUGCGGCAGCAGGAUCGACAGCACGCAAGGGGGGACCAGAUCGGUCCUCGGUUUACGCAUUCUGCCUCUCCAGUAGGCUGAGCAUCCGUACGCUCAUUUCGUGGGUUGGCUUAGGCAUACAGAGUUCAUUCCAUGUCUAAGCAUACGGAGUUCAUUCCUAGUCUAAGAUCGGACCAGACCGAGGGUUACGGCAGCAGGACCAAUAGCAGGAUCGACAGCACGCAGGGGGCGACUGGGCCGAUCCCCGGCAUGCGCAUUCUGCCUCUCCGGUCAGCCUCUGCGGUUGGUUGAGCGCCCGCACGCUCAUUUCAUGGGUUGACUUAGGCAUACGGAGUUCAUCCCCAGUCUAAGCACACGGAGUUCAUUCCUAGUCUAAGAUCAGACUGGAUCGAGGGUUGCGACAGCAGGAUCGACAGGACACAGGAGGGAGGGGGUUGAUCCUCGACUUGCGCAUUCUGCCUCUCUGGCUAGCUGAGCGCCCGGACGUCCGUUUCUUGGGUUGGCUUAGCCAUAGCGAGUUCCAUCCAUGUCUAAGUCCCAAUCGGACCGAGGGUUGCGGCAGCGGGACUGACAGCACACAGAAGGGGACUAAGCCAAUCCCCGACUUGUGCUUCUACCUCUCCAGUCGGCUGAGUGCCCGCAAGCUCGUUUCGUGGGUGGGCUUAGGCAUAUGGAGUUCAUUCCAUGUCUAAGCGUAUGAAGUUCAUUCCCAGUCUAAGAGUUUGAGCCACGGUGUCACAUUUUUUUCGUCCGAGGCACCAUCACUGGAGCAUCAUCGGAGUAUCACCCGAGAGCCUAAUCGACGGCAUUUGGGGUUCCGACGAUUGGGGGGCCCGAAGGGGGUGUGCGCACAUGAUGUGUGAUGGGUGCUGGUACUUGGCCCUUAUAUUGGCCCCCUAUCCCUCAUCAAACCUUGAGAACUCACACCCUUUUAAAAAGUAUUUGAGAUUCUAUAGGUUUGCUACCAGUAGCCAUUACAGUGUUUGAAAUGGGGACACUUUUUUCAAACGGUCACAAAAUCUUCUCCACUCCGAGUUUCUUGCUGAAUUAUUUUAUGCAUGCCAACAAAAAUACAAGGAUCACCUCUACCAAAUUUGGGGACAAAACUCUUUCUAAAAAAAUUUUAAAAAAUCCUAAACCGUAAAAAGUUUCAAAAAUCAUGAAAAAUAAAAAACGGGUCAUCUUGCCACAAAACUUCACAUGAAGGCUUAGGGGACCAUUGUAUGAAUUUAGAUGCCAUAAAAAUGGCAUUGGCACGGCAGAAAUAUGAAGAUGUGCUUGAACCCACCUACCACCAGUUCGAUCCCCGGCUUGCGCAUCCUGCCUCUCUGGUCGGCUAAACGUCCGCACGCUCAUUUCAUGGGUUGGCUUAGGCAUACGGAGUUCAUCCCCAGUCUAAGCAAAUAGAGUUCAUUCCUAUUCUAAGAUCAGACCGGAGCGAGGGUUAUGGUAGUAGGAUCGACAGCACGCAAGGGGGACCGAGCCAAACCAUGGCUUGCAUAUUCUGCCUCUCCGAUCGGCUGAGCGCCCACAUGCUCCUAUCGUGGGUUGGCUUAGGCAUAGGGAGUUCAUUCCAUGUCUACACCCCAGCUAGACCGAGGGCUGUGGCAGCGAGACUGGCAUCACGCAGAGGGGGAUCGAGCUGAUCCCCGGCUUGCGCAUUAUGCCUCUCCGGCCGGCUCAGCACCCGCACACUCAUUUUGUGGGUUGACUUAGGCAUACGGAGUUCAUUCCAAGUCUAAGAUUGAAUUUAACUGAGGGUUACGGCAGCAGGAUCGACAGCACACAGGUGGGGACCAGGCUAAUCCCUGGCUUGCUCAUUCUGCCUCUCCGACCGGCUAAGCACCCGUACGUUCAAUUCGUGGCCUGGCUUAGGCAUACGGAGUUCAUUCCAUGUUUAAGCAUACGGAGUUCAUUCCCAGUCUAAGAUCAGAUCGUACCGAGGGUUGCGAGAGCAGGACCAGCCGUAGGAUAGGCAGUACGCAGGGGGGACCGGGCCGAUCCCCAGCUUGCGCAUCUGCCUUUCCGACCAGCUGAGCGCCUGCACGCUCGUUUUGGGGUUGACUUAGGCAUACGGAGUUCAUCCCUAGUCUAAGCAUACGGAGUUCAUUCCCAGUCUAAGAUCAGACUGGAUCGAGAGUUGCGGCAACAGGAUUGGCAGCACGCAGGGGGGCCAGGCCGAUCCCCGACUUACGUAUUCUGCCUUUCCGACCGACUGAGCACCCGCACGCCCAUUUCGUGGGUUGGCUUAGGCAUAGGGAGUUCAUUACAUGUCUAAGCCCCAGUCGGAUCGAGGGUUGUGGUAUCAGGAUCGGUAGCACGUAGAGGGGGACCGAGCUGAUCCCCGACUUGUGCAUUCUACCUCUCUGACCGGUUGAGUGCCCGCACGCUCGUUUCGUGGGUUGGCUUAGGCAUACGGAGUUCAUUCCAUGUCUAAGCAUACAGAGUUCAUUCCAGUCUAAGAGUUUGAGCCAUGGUGCACAUGCUGAUUUCGGGCCUGUACUGGUGCCAUAUUUUUUUCACACGAGGCACCAUCGUUGGAGCAUCGCCGGAAAGCCUAACCGGUGGUAUUAGGGGUUUCGGUGAUUUGGGGGGGUCGAGGGGUGUGCGUACAUGAUGUGCGAUGGGUGCUGGUAGUUGGCCCUUAUAUUGGCCCCCUAUCCCUCAUCAAACCUCGAGAACCCACACCCCUUAAAGUGCGUUUGAGAUUUUAUAGGUUUGCUGCCAGUAGCCAUUAAAGUGUUUGAAAUGAGGACAUUUUUUUCAAACUAUCACAAAAUCUUUUCCACUUCGAGUUUUUAGCUGAAUUGUUUUGGGCAUGCCAAAAAAAAUACAAGGAUCACCUCUACCAAAUUUGGGGACAAAAAUCUUUCUAAAAAAAUUUAAAAAAAUCCCGAACCAUAAAAAGUUUUAAAAAUCGUGAAAAAUAGAAAACAGGUCGUCUUGCCACGAAACUUCACAUGAAGGCUUAGGGGACCAUUGUAUGAAUUUACAAGCCAUAAAAAUGGCAUUGGCAUGGCAGAAAUAUAAAGAUGUGCUUGAACCCACCUACCACCCGUUCGAUCCCCGACUUGCGCGUCCUGCCUCUCUGGUCGGCUGAGCGCCCGCACGCUCGUUUAGUGAGUUGACUUAGGCAUACGGAGUUCAUCCCCAGUCUAAGCAUAUGGAGUUCAUUCCCAGUCUAAGAUUGGACCGGACCAAGGGUUGCAGCAGCAGGAUCGACAACACCCAGGGGGGAUCGGACCGAUCCCUGGCUUACGCAUUCUGCCUCUCCGGCUGACUGACCGCCCGCACGCCUGUUUCGUGGGUUGGCUUAGGCAUAGGGAGUUAAUUCAAUGUCUAAGCCCCAGCCGGAUCGAGGGUUGUGGCAGCGAGACCGGUAGCACGCAGAGGGGGACCAGACUGAUCCUCGGUUUCCGUAUUAUGCCUCUCGGGCUUGCUCAAUGCCCACACGCUCGUUUCAUGGGUUGACUUUGGCAUACGGAGUUCAUUCCCAAUCUAAGAUCAGACUGGACCGAGGGUUGUGGCAGCAGGAUCGACAGCACGUAAGGGGGAUCGGGUCGAUCCUCGACUUGCACAUUCUGCCUCUCCGACCGACUGAGCACCUGCAUGCUCGUUUCGUGGGUUGGCUUAGGCAUACGGAGUUCAUUCCAUGUCUAAGCAUAUGGAGUUCAUUCCCAGUCUAAGAUCAGACCGGACCGAGGGUUGCGACAGCAGGUCCAGCACAGGAUCGACAGCACGCCGGGGGGAUCGGGCUGAUCCACAACUUGCACAUUCUGCCUCUCCGGCCGGUUGAGCACCCGCCCACUCAUUUCAUGGGUUGGCUUAGGCAUACAAAGUUCAUUCCAUGUCUAAGCCCCAAUCGGACCGAGGGUUAUGGCAGCAAGAUCAGCAGCGGGAUCGAUAUUACGCAGAGGGGGAUCGAGCUGAUCCUCGGCUUGCGCAUUAUGCCUUUUCGGCCAGCCUCUCUUGCUGGUUGAGUGCCCGCACGCUCGUUUUAUGGGCUGACUUAGGCAUACGGAGUUCAUCCCCAGUUUAAACAUACGGAGUUCAUUCCAGUCUAAGAUCAGAUCGGAUCGAAGGUUGUGGCAACUGGACCAGUAGUAAGAUCGGUAGCACGCAAGGGGGCCGGGCCGAUCCCUGGCUUGUGCAUUCUGCCUCUCUGGCCGACUGAGCACCCACACGCUCGUUUUGUGGGUUGGCUUAGGCAUACGGAGUUCAUUCCAUGUCUAAGCAUACGGAGUUCAUUCCCAGUCUAAGAUUUUGAGUCACGGUGCACAUGCUGGGCUCGGGCAUGUGCUAGUGUCACUUUUUUUUGGCUCGGGGCACCAUCGACGGAGCAUCGCCAGAGCAUCACCGGAGAGCCUAACCGACGGCAUUAAAGGUUUCGACGAUUGGGGGGUCGGGGGUGUGUACACAUGAUGUGCGAUGGGUGCUGGUUCUUGUGUCACGAGCUCUGACCUUAAACUUAGAAACUGUAUGGCCUUAGGCUUGGAAUCUCCUCACUUAUGCAUAAGUCAGCUUAAAACACAAGCGUAUGGGCACUAGAACAACAGGAAGGGCUGAUUACACAAGUUAAAGAGAAACAGGAUAAGAAGGCAGAAUUCUGGAAAUGCUCUUGUAUUCACUAAAACGGAAGUGUUUGAUGGUGUACAAAUGAGGGAGGUCCAGCCCUCUAUUUAUAGUUGAGGCUCCAGCUUACACUUAAUGGCAAUAUCCCUAGAAUAAAGGCUAAAAUCAUGGGAUUAUAUAGAUUACAAUCAAUCAGGAUGCUAACUCCUGAUUUUCAGGGUUAACCAAAUCUGCCAGGAUGCUGCUGCUGAUCCUGCCUACUUCCAAAAGCUUCCUUUGCGUGUCUAGCACCUUAGGCCCUUCUGGAUGUGUUACGGGCAGCUUGUAUGCUAGGCCUUGGUCUUAUGGGCUAGCCUGCAAGUUGGGUGGGCGUUCAGAACUCAUUUGCUAGGCUUUGCAUGUAGAUACCCGCCAGCACGCCUGGUCUACGAGCCUCAACCUCUAGCUCACCUGUUGGUGCACCUGAUUGCAUAACACCCUCAUUGUGUCUUCUGCAUGGUACUGCCUAAUUUGGUCCCUGAACUGCCAUAAGUCAUCUGCUGGUUCCCAGCUCGCCUCACUGUCUGAAAGUCCCUUCUAGCACACCAAGUACUCUUGUCUUGGAUAAUAGUUCUUUCGUCUCACCUCCUGAUCAGCUAUGAUGUUGUGGACCUCCUUCUCAUAUGAGGCCCUUGCUCCCAAUGGCGCACGCUUUGACUCUGCCCGUCCUGGAUCUCCCUCAUCCUCAUGGAACGGCUUGAGCAUGCUCACAUGGAACACCAGGUGUACCUUCGGCUUGGGUGGCAUAUCCAGCUUGUAGGCAACCUUGCCUACCCUCUUGACUACUCGAAAAGGUCCCUCAUACCUCCAAACUAGGCCUUUGUGCAGCCCCCUAUGGUGCACAAUGGGAUGCAGCUUCACCAACACCAAGUUUCCAACCUAGAACUCCACGUCCCGCCUAUUCUAGUCUGCCCACUUCUUUGACCUCUUGGCCGUCUUGUGUAGACAAACUCUGGCCAAGUCAGUUUGCUCCUGCCAUGCCUUGGCAAACUUGUAUGUUGCUGGAUUCAGCCCUGUAUAACCUGCAGCAAUCGAACCGGGUGUUAGUUGUUGUUGCCCUGUCACAACCUCAAAUGGGCUCUGGUUCGUUGCCUCGCUCUUUUGCAAGUUGUAGGAAAAUUGUGCAAUAUCUAGCAGCUUUGGCCAGUCCCUUUGUGUGGCACUCACAUAGUGCCUGAGAUAGACCUCUAAUAGUCCAUUCACUCGUUCUGUCUGCCCAUCGGUCUGUGGAUGCAUGCUGGUGGAAAAGUUCAAGUCUGACCCUAACAGCUUGAACAACUCAGUCCAGAACCUGCCCGUGAAAUGCCCGUCUCGAUCACUAAUAAUGGUCCUCGGCACUUCCUAGUACUUAACCAUGUUCUUCAGGAACAAUCGAGCUGCCUCCUCGGCUGUGCACUCCUUGGUUGCUGGAAUGAAGAUUCCAUACUUGGAAAACCUGUCCACCACUACCAUGAUGCUUUUAAACCCUUUUGCUUUGGGUAGACUGACUAUAAAGUCUAGAGAAACACUCUCCCAUGGUCACUCUGGCACUGGCAAUGGCUCCAAGAGACCACCUGGUUUCUUGAGCUCCACCUUGUCCUAUUGGCACACAAGACAAGUCUUCACAUAGGCCUCCACAUCGUCCCUCAUGUGCGGCCAGUAGUAUCGAUCCUCGAUCAACACCAAGGUACGACUCACUCCGGGGUGUCCAGCCCAUCUUGAAUCAUGGCAUUCUUGCAAAACUUCCUUGCAGAGCUUUUCGUGCUGUGGUACAAAUAGUCUACUUCCCCUGGUGUACAGUAAGCCAUCCUGUAACCAAAACUGCCUAGUCUUACCUUGCUGGGCGUACUCCAUCAAAGCCUUGGCUAUAGGAUCAUGUGCAAGUCCCUCUUUGAUGGGCGGCACCAGUGACCCCUCUAGUUGGCUAAUGGUAGCAAGGUUAGCCUUCCUGCUCAGGGCGUCUGCCACUAGGUUCACCCAUCCCUGCUUGUACUGCAUCUGGAAAUCAAAUUUCGCAAGAAAAUCUUACCAUCUCGCCUACUUGGGGGAUAGCUUCUUCUGCGUCUGGAAGUAGCUGGUCGUCACAUUGUCCAUCUUAACCAUGAACCUCGACCCCAACAGGUAAUGGUGCCAAGUGUGUAAGCAGUGCACCACUACAGUCAUCUCCUUCUCUUGGACCUUGUACUUGCGCUCAGUCUCGUUCAGCUUCCUGCUCUUGAACAUGACUGGACGUCCCUCCUGCAUCAACAAGCCCCCUAUGGCAAAGUCUGAUGCAUCUGUAUGCACCUCAUAUGGCUUGGUAUGGUCUGGCAAGGGUAAGACUGGCUCUUCGAUCACAGCCUGCUUCAACCUGUCAAAGGCUUCCUGGCACCCUGCGCUCCACUCCCAUGCUUUCCCUUUCUUGAGCAAGUCAGUCAAUGGCGUGGCUAUUGCUGAGUGACCUUUGAUGAAGCGCUUGUAGUAGUUGACCAGCCCAAGGAAUGAUCUCAACUCAGUGACCUUGGCUGGCGGUUGCCACUCCAAGAUGGCAUGUAUCUUACCUUCAUCCAUGCGUAUCUUGCCACUUCCCACUAUGUGGCCAAGGAACAGGAUCUCCAGCUAGGCGAAUGAGCACUUCUCCCUCUUGACAAAUAGCUUGUGCACUCGCAACACCUCGAACACCUGUCUCAAGUGGUCUACAUGCUCUCCCAAAGUCUGGCUGUAGAUCACAAUGUCAUCCAAAUAAACCACAACAAAUUGAUCAAGGAAUGACUGAAGUACCUUGUUCAUAAGGGUGCAGAAUGUUGCUAGGGCGUUCGUAAGUCUGAAAGGCAUCACCAAGAACUCAUACGAACCAUACCAAGUGACACAUGCUGUCUUUGGCUCAUCUCCUUCCGUGAUCCUGACUUGAUAGUAGCCUGACCUCAAAUCCAGCUUGGUGAACCACCUUACGCUCCCAAGUUGGUCGAAUAAGUCUGCAAUGAGUGGGAUGGGGUACUUGUUCUUGAUGGUUAGCUUGUUCAAAGCCCGGUAGUCUAUGCACAGUCACAACGACCCAUCAUGCUUGCGCUAAAAUAGAAUUGGUGCACCAUAGGGUGCCUUCGAUGGCCUGAUGAAACCAGCAUCAACUAACUCUUUGAGCUGCUUCCUCAACUCCUCCAACUCUGGUGGAGACAUUAGGUAAGGGGCUCUAGCUGGUGGCUUGGCCUCGGACACUAGCUCGAUCUUAUGGUCCACCUCCCUCUUAGGUGGUCGCUUGCUAGGUAGCUUUACGGGCAUCACAUCACUUAAGGUCUUUGGCACCUUUAGCACCUCCAAGGGUGACUCGAUCUCCUUCUCCUUUGGCUCAUCAUAUUUCAGGGCUGCCAAGAAGGUGUCUUCUUGUCUGCUUAUCGCCUUAGCAAAUUGGAUGGCUGACACCACCCGCAACCCAACUCCAGACCCUCUCCUCAAUGGCACUAGGCAUUGGCACCGUGCAUCCAAGAUGCAAACACAAUCGACAAAAGGCACAAAGAGGGCAUUAAUCCGAACAAAGAAAUCCAACCCAAUCACAAACUCAUAGUCGUCAAGGGUAUUACCUCAAUGGUCUCCUUGCCUUUCUAGUUUCCAAGCUGUAACUCCACUCCCCGCGCUACUCCAUUGGCUGGAACUUCCUUGGAGUUCACCGUUUUGAUGGUACCAGUCCUUUUUUGUACCUUUAGUCUGACCUUUCGAGCUCUAUCACCUGAAAUAAAAAGAUGUGAGGCACCAUGUCCACCAGUGCACUCACCUUCUGACCCGUAACCAUCAGAUCCGUAAACAUCAAGCCCUUUGGCUUGCUACUCCCCUUACUCUGGACAGCAUUACUACUCCUCAUCAGACUCCUUGUCUACAGCAGCCAGCUUACCCUUCUGUGGGUAAUUGCACGCUAUGUGGCUCCCUCCACAUAGGUAGCAUGCUAGUGGCUCUCGGUCCCCUUUUGCUUUCCACUUGCUUGCUGGUGGCUUCCUCUCGCCAUCCUUGGUUGAAUGGUCUCAGUCUCUAUCCUUGGACUCCCGGCCAUGGUCCUUCCCCUUGGACUGCUUCUUUUGAUCCCUAUCAUCCCUGUCCUUACCCUUGGGCUUGGUAGAUUCAAACUUGUUCAGAGGCUUGAACUCUAUCAAGGCCUCGACAGUAGUCAUGGCUUUAGCCAAGUCAUGAACUCCUCUCCUUUGUAGCUCAUGCUUCACCCACGGCUUCAGCCCAUCCAUGAAAGCAAAUAAGGAGUCCUUCUCACCUAGAUCCGAGAUCUAUAGCAUCAGUUCAGAGAAUUUCUAGACAUACUCCCUUAUGUCCCCUUGCUGGCUCAGCCUGCAUAACUUUGCCCGCCUCAUCAUCGACAUACUCUGGGUAAAAUUAUUCUCUGAACUCCUUUUGGAACUCUGCCCAGGUUCCAAUCUUGGUGCUCCCAUGCCUGACAUCAUCACACCUAUGCCUCUACCACAAUAAGGCUACAUCAGUGAGAUACAUACAGCGGUGCUUACCUUUAUCGCCUCAUCUUGCAUGCCCAUGGCCUGGAAGUACUGCUCCAUACCCUAAAGGUAGUUAUCUACUUCCUUGGCUGCCCUAGUCCCCUUGAACUCCUUAGGCUUGGGGACAUCCAAUCUGGACUUGGACACUCCAGCAAACAGCCAUUCCUAAUGGCAGUCUUGCAAGCAAUGAGCUCACUGGUAAGCUUCUCCAUCCGCUGGCGCAUGGCCUCCAUGCCAUCGUGCAAGGUCAGCACUUCAGCCUCCAAGGUCUGAUUCUUUUGGGUGAACACGUCCAAGCCUUUGUUGAGAGCAGCUUGCAGCUCACUUUGGAUCCCUCCCCUAUGGAGUCUAGCGAUGCAAUGUGAGUCUCUACCCCCUCAAGCUUCUCCUCCAUGUGCCCAUGGUCACCUCCACCUUGGCCACCUACCGUCCAUGGUAGACCAGAUAUCUCUAGAACUAGCUUUCCUCCCUCUUCCACACCCAUGCUCUGGGCCUCUGGUUGUUGGUUAGCAGCGUCACUUUGGGAUGCCAUCUCCUCUAACCUGCACAACACAAACACGUAGAAUCGAACUUGCUCUGAUACCAACUGUCACAGGCUCUGACCUUAGACUCAGAAACCGUGUGGCCUUAGGCUUGGAAUCUCCUCCUUUAAGCCUAAGUCAGCCUAAAACACAAGCGUACGAGCACUAGAACAACAGGAAGGGCUGAUUACGCAAGUUAAAGAGAAACAGGAUAAGAAGGUAGAAUUCUAGAAAUGCUCUUGUAUUCACUGAAAUAGAAGUGUUUGAUGGUGUACAAAUGAGGGAGGAGCAGCCCUCUAUUUAUAGUUAAGGCUCCAGCUUACACUUAAUGGCAAUAUCCCUAGAAUAAAGGCUAAAAUCAUGGGAUUAUAUAGAUUAUAAUCAAUCAGGAUGCUAACUCCUGAUUUUCAGGGUCAACCAAAUCUGCCUGGAUGCUGCUGCUGAUCCUGCCUGCUUCCAAAAGCUUCCCUUGCAAGUCCAGCACCUUGGGCCCUUCUGGAUGUGGUGCAGGCAGCUUGUAUGCCAGGCCUUGGUCUCACGGGCUGGCCUGCAAGUUGGGCGGGCAUUCUGAACUCAUUCGCUAGGCUUUGCGUGUAGAUACCCGCCAGCACGCCUGGUCUGUGGGCCUCAACCUCUGGCUCUCCUGCUGGUGCACCUGAUGUGCCUGGCGCCCACCCUGGGCAUGACACUUGGCCCUUAUAUUGGCCCCCUAUCCCUCAUCAAACCUCGAGAACUCACACCCCCUUAAAGAGCAUUUGAGAUUUUAUAGGUUUGCUGCCAGUAGCCAUUAAAGUGUCCAAAAUGGGGACACUUUUUUCAAACGAUCACAAAAUCUUCUCCACUUCGAGUUUUUAGCUCAAGUGUUUUGUGCAUGCCAACAAAAAUACAAGGAUCACCUCUACCAAUUUGGGGACAAAACUCUUUCUAAAAAAUUUUUAAAAAAUCUCGAACCGCAAAAUGUUUCAAAAAUCGUGAAAAAUAGAAAACGGGUCGUCUUGCCACGAAACUUCACAUGAAGGCUUAGGGGACCAUUAUAUCAAUUUACAAGUCAUAAAAAUGGCAUUGGCAUGGCAGAAAUAUGAAGAUGUGCUUGAACCCACCUACCACCCGUUCGAUCCCUAGCUUACGCAACCUGCCUCUCUGGUCGGCUGAGCGCCCGCACGCUCGUUUUAUGGGUUGACUUAGGCAUACGGAGUUCAUCCCCAGUCUAAGCAUAUGGAGUUCAUUCCCAGUCUAAGAUCGAACUGGAUCGAGGGUUGUGGUAGUAGGAUCGACAGCACGCAGGGGGGAUCGGGCCAAUCCCCAGCUUGCACAUUUUGCCUUUCCGGUCGGCUGAGCACCCGUACGCGUGUUUCGUGGGUUGGCUUAGGCAUAAGGAGUUCAUUCCAUGUCUAAGCCCCAGCCGGACCAAGGGUUGUGGCAGCGGGACUGGCAGCACGCAGAGGGGGACCAGGCCAAUCCCUGGUUUGCGCGUUAUGCCUCCCCGGUCGGCUCAAUGCUUGCACAUUCAUUUCAUGGGUUGACUUAGGCAUACAGAGUUCACUCCCAAUCUAAGAUCUGAUCGGACUGAGGGUUGUGAUAGCAGGAUCGACAGCACGUAGGGGGGGACCGGGUCGAUCCCUGGCUUGCGCAUUUUGCCUCUCCGGCCGGCCGUAAGCUCGUUUCAUGGGUUGGCUUAGGCAUACGGAGUUCAUUCCAUGUCUAAGCAUACGAAGUUCAUUCCCAAUCUAAGAUUGGACCGGAUUGAGGGUUGCAGCAGUAGGACUAGUAGCAGGAUCGGCAACACGAAGGGGGGAUCGGGCCGAUCCUCGAUUUGCACAUUCUGCCUCUCUGACCGACUGAGCACCCGCACGCUCGUUUCGUGGGUUGACUUAGGCAUACGGAGUUCAUCCCCAGUCUAAGCAUACGGAGUUCAUUCCCAGUCUAAGAUCAGAUCGAACCGAGGGUUACGACAGCAGGAUCGACAGCACGUAGGGGGGACCAGGCCGAUCCCCGGCUUAUGCAUUCUGCCUCUCCGAUCGGCUGAGCACCUGCACGCCCAUUUCAUGGGUUCGCUUAGGCAUAGGGAGUUCAUUCCAUGUCUAAGCCCCAGCCAGACCGAGGAUGUGGCAGUGGGACUGACAGCAUGCAGAGGGGGAUCGGGUCGAUCCCCAGCUUGUGCAUUAUGCCUCUUCGGCCUGCUUAGCGCCUGUACGCUCAUUUCGUUUGUGCAUGCCAACGAAAUGCAAGGACAACCUCUAACAAAUUUGGGGACAAAAAUCUUUCUAAAAAAAUUUUUAAAAAUCCCGAACCGAAAAAAGUUUCAAAAAUCAUGAAAAAUAGAAAAUGAGUCGUCUUGCCACGAAACUUCACAUGAAGGCUUAGGGGACCAUUGCAUGAAUUUACGAGCCAUAAAAAUGGCAUUGGCACGGAAGAAAUAUGAAGAUGUGCUUGAACCCACCUACCACCCAUUCGAUCCCCGGCUGCGCAUCCUGCCUCUUUGGUCAGCUGAGCGCCUGCACGCUCAUUUCGUGGGUUGACCUAGGCAUACGGAGUUCAUCCCAGUCUAAGCAUAUGGAGUUCAUUCCAGUCUAAGAUUUUGAGCCACGGUGCACAUACUGGGCUAGGGCUUGUGCUGCUGCCACUUUUUUUUCACCCGGGGCACCAUCGCCAGAGCGUCGCCGGAGCAUCGCCGGAGAGCCUAACCAGUAGCAUUAGGGGUCCGACGAUUGGGGGGGUCGGGGGGGUGCGCACAUGAUGUGCAUGGGUGCUGGGUACUUGGCCUUAUAUGGCCCCCUAUCCCUCAUCAAACCUCGAGAACUCAGCACCCCCUUAAAAGAUGCAUUUGAGAUUUAUAGGUUUGCUGCCAAUAGCCAUUAAAGUGUCUGAAAUGGGGACACUUUUUUCAACGGUCACAAAAUCUUUUCCACAUCGAGUUUUUAGCUAAAUAUUUUUGUGCAAUGCCAAAAAAAUACAAGAAUCACCUCUAACAAAUUUGGAUACAAACGCUUUCCUAAAAAAAUUUUAAAAAUCCCCAACCGUAAAAUGUUUUGAAAAUAAUGAAAAAUAGAAAACUGUUCGUCUUGCCACGAAACUUCACAUGAAGGCUUAGGGGACCAUUGUAUGAAUUUACAAGCCAUAAAAAUGGCAUUGGCACGGUAGAAAUAUGAAGAUGUGCUUGAACCCACCUACCACUCGCUCGAUCCCCGACUUACGCAUCCUGCCUCUUUGGCCAGCUGAGCCCCCGCACGCUCGUUUUAUGGGUUGACUUAGGCAUAUAGAGUUCAUCCCCAGUCUAAGCAUACGCAGUUCAUUCCCAGUCUAAGAUCGGACCAGACCAAGGGUUGUGAUAGCAGGAUGGGUAGCACGUAGGGGGGACCGAACCGAUCCCCGGCUUGCGUAUUCUGCCUCUCCGACCGGCUGAGUGCCUGCACGCCCGUUUAGUGGGUUAGCUUAGGCAUAAGGAGUUCAUUCUAUGUCUAAGCCCCAGCGGGACCAAGGGUUGUGGCAGCAGGACCGACAUUUCGUAGAGGGGGACCGAUCCAGUCCCCAGCUUGCGCAUUAUGCCUCUCCGGCCGGCUCAGCGCUGCAGGCUCAUUUCGUGGGUUGACCUAGGCAUACGGAGUUCAUUCCCAUUCUAAGAUUAGACCAGAUCGAGGGUUGCGGUAGCAAGAUUGAAAGCACACAGGGGGAUCGGGUCGGUCCCCGGCUUACGCAUUCUGCCUUUGCGACCGGCUGAGCACCCGCACGUUUGUUUCGUGGGUUGGAUUAGGCAUACGGAGUUCAUUCCAUGUCUAAGCAUAUGGAGUUCAUUCCUAGUCUAAGAUGGGAUCGGAUCGAGGGUUGUGGCAAAAGUACUAGCAGCAGGAUCGGCAGCACGCAGGGGGGUACCGGUCAAUCCCCAUCUUGUGCAUUCUGCCUCUGCAGCCGGUUGAGCGCCCGAACGCCCAUUUCGUGGGUUGGCUUAGGCAUAGGGAGUUCAUUCCAUGUCUAAGCCCCAACCGGACCAAGGGUUGUGGUAGCGGGACCGACAGCACGCAGAGGGGGACUGGGCUGAUCCCCGGCUUGUGCAUUAUGCCUCUUCGGCAGGCUUAGCACUCACACGCUCAUUUCAUGGGUUGACUUAUGCGUACGAAGUUCAUUCCCAGUGUAAGAUCUAACCAGAUCGAGGGUUGCGAUAGUAUAAACGAUAGCAUGCAAUGGGGGAUCGGGUCAAUCCCCGGCUUACGCAUUCUACCUCUCCGACCGACUGAGUGCCCGCACGCUCGUUUCAUGGGUUAGCUUAGGCAUACGGAGUUCAUUACAUGUCUAAGCAUAUGGAGUUCAUUCCCAAUCUAAGAUUGGAUCGGAUCGAGGGUUGCAGCAGUAGGAUCUGCAGCUCGCAAGGGGGGACCGAGCCUAUCCCCGACUUGUGCAUUCUGCCUCUUCGACCGACUGAGCUCCCGCACGCCCAUUUCAUGGGUUGGCUUAGGCAUAGGGAGUUCAUUCCAUGUCUAAGCCCAAGCUGGACCAAGGGUUGUGGCAACGGGACCGGCAGCAUGUAGAGGUGGACCGGGCCGAUCCCCGACUUGCGCAUUAUGCCUUUUCGAUCGGCUCAGCGCCCGCACCCUCGUUUCGUGGGUUGACUUAUGCAUACGGAGUUCAUUCCCAGUCUAAGAUCAGACCAGACUGAGGGUUGCGGCAGCAAGAUAGACAACAUGCAGGGGGACCAAGCCGAUCCCCGACUUGCGCAUUUUGCCUCUCCGGCCGGCUGAGCGUCCGCACGCUCGUUUCGUGGGUUUGCUUAGGCAUACAGAGUUCAUUCCAUGUCUAAGCAUACAGAGUUCAUUCCCAGCCUAAGAUUUCGAGCCACAGUGCACAUGCUGGGCUCGGGCAUGUGCUAAAGCCAAAUAUUUUUCACCCGGGGCACCAUCGUCGGAGCAUCUCCGUAGCAUCGCCGGAGAGCCUAACCAGUGGCAUUGGGGGUUCCAGUGAUUGGGGGGGCCGGGGGGUGUGCGCACAUGAUGUGUGAUUGGUGCUGGUACUUGGCCCUUAUAUUGGCCCCCUAUCCCUCAUCAAACCUCAAGAACUCACACCCCCUUAAAGAGCAUUUGAGAUUUUAUAGGUUUGCUGCCAGUAGCCAUUAAAGUGUUUGAAAUGGGGACACUUUUUUCAAACGGUCACAAAUCUUCUCCACUUUGAGUUUUUUGCUGAAUUUUUUUGUGCAUGCCAAAAAGAAUACAGGGAUCACCUCUACCAAAUUUGGAGAAAAAACUCUUUCUAAAAAAAUUUUAAAAAAUCUCGAACCGCAAAAAGUUUCAAAAAUCAUAAAAAAUAAAAAACAGGUCGUCUUGCCACGAAACUUCACAUGAAGGCUUAGGGGACCAUUGUAUGAAUUUAAAAGCCAUAAAAAUGGCAUUGGCAUGGCAGAAAUAUGAAGACAUGCUUGAACCCACCUACCACCCUUUCGAUCCCCGGCUUGCGCAUCCUGUCUCUCUGGUCGGCUGAGCGCCUGCAUGCUCAUUUCGUGGGUUGACUUAGGCAUACGGAGUUCAUCCCCAGUCUAAGCAUACGGAGUUCAUUCUUAGUCUAAGAUCAGACCGGAUCGAGGGUUGCGACAGCAGGAUCGACAGCACGCAAGAGGGACCGGACUGAUCCCCAGCUUACGCAUUCUGCCUCUCAGACCGACUGAGCGCCUGAACGCCCGUUUCGUGGGUUGGCUUAGGCAUAGGAAGUUCAUUCCAUGUCUAAGCCCCAGUUGGACUGAGGGUUGUGGCAGCGGGACCAGCAGCACACAGAGGGGGACUGAGUCGAUCCCCGGCUUGCGUAUUAUGCCUCUUCGACCGGCUCAGCACCCGCACGCUCAUUUUGAGGGUUGACCUAGGCAUACGGAGUUCAUUCCCAGUCUAAGAUCAGCCUAGACUGAGGGUUGCAGUAGCAGGAUCGAUUGGACGUAGGGGGAAUCGGGUCGAUCCCCGGCUUGCGCAUUCUGCCUCUCCGAUCGACUGAACGCCCGAACGCUCUUUUCAUGGGUUGGCUUAGGCAUACAGAGUUCAUUCCAUGGCUAAGCAUACAGAGUUCAUUCCCAGUCUAAGAUCAGACCAGAUCGAGGGUUGUGAUAGCAGGACUAGCAACAGGAUCGACAGCACGCAUAGGGGAACGGGCCGAUCCCCAGCUUGCACAUUCUGCCUCUUCGACUGGCUAAGCGCCUGCACGCUCAUUUUAUGGGUUGGCUUAGGCAUACGGAGUUCAUUCCAUGUCUAAGCCCUAACCAGAUCGAGGGUUAUGGCAGCAGGACCGAUAGCGGGAUCGGCAGCACGUAGAAAGGGGCCGGGCAUUUCCUCGGCUUACGUAUUCUGCCUCUUCAGUCGGUUGAGCACCCGAAUGCUCAUUUCAUGGGUUGGCUUAGGCAUAGAAGUUCAUUCCAUGUCUAUGCCCCAGCCGAACCGAGGGUUGGAUAGAGACCGCAGCGGGAUCAGCAGCAUACAGAGCACUGGGUUGAUCCUGACUUUCGCAUAGCCUCUCCGAUCGACUGAGGCACAGCAUGCUCGUUCAUGGGUUGAAUUAGGAAACGAGUUAUCCCUAUUGAAGCAUACGGAGUUCAUUCCCAGUCCAUGAUCAGACAGACAAGAGGCGUUAGCGGGAGUGGAUCCGCACGCCUGGGAUGACGAUCCUGCUGUACGCAUUCUGUGGUGAGGCUGGCUGAGCGGGCAUAAGCCAGUUGGGUUGGCUUGAGGCAUACAGUGUCAGUUCAUGUAUAAGCCCUAGCAGAGCGAGGGUUGUGGCAGAUGGGACCGAAGCCAUCAGAGGGGACAUAGGCCGAUCCCGGCUUGCGCAUUAGCCCUUUCAGUAAGCUAGUGCCCGCACGCUCGUUUCGUGGGUUGACUUUUGCAUACGGAGUUCAUUCCCAGUCCAAGAUUGGAUCGGAUCAAGGGUUGUGGCAGCAGGAUUGACAACACACAGGGGGGGAUCGGGCCGAUCCCCGGCUUGCGCAUUCUACCUUUUCGACCGACUGAGUACCCGCACGCUCGUUUCGUGGGUUGGCUUAGGCAUACGGAGUUCAUUCCAUGUCUAAGCAUACGGAGUUCAUUCUCAGUCUAAGAGUUUGAGCCACGGUGCACAUGCUGGGCUCGGGCAUGUGCUCGUGCCACAUUUUUUCACCCGGGGCAACAUCGUCGGAGCAUCGUCGGAGAGCCUAAUCGGCGGCAUUGAGGGUUCCGGUGAUUGGGGGGGCCGGAGGGUGUACGCAUAUGAUGUGCAAUGGGUGCUGGUACUUGGCCCUUAUAUUGGCCCCCUAUCCCUCAUCAAACCUCAAGAACUCACACCCCAUCAAAGAGCAUUUGAGAUUUUAUAGGUUUGCUGCCAGUAGCCAUUAAAGUGUCUAGAAUGGGCACACUUUUUUCAAAUGGUCACAAAAUCUUCUCCACUUCGAUUUUUUAGAUGAAUUUUUUUAUGCAUGCCAACAAAAAUACAGGGAUCACUUCUACCAAAUUUUAGGACAAAAAUCUUUCUAAAACAAUUUUAAAAAAUCCUGAACCGUAAAAAGUUUCAAAAAUCGUGAAAAAUAGAAAACGGGUCGUCUUGCCAUGAAACUUCACAUGAAGGCUUAGGGGACCAUUGUAUGAAUUUAAAAGCCAUAAAAAUGGCAUUGCCAUGGCAGAAAUAUGAAGAUGUGCUUGAACCCACCUACCACACGUUCAAUCCUCGACUUACGCAUCCUGCCUCUCUGAUCGGUUGAGCGUCCGCACGCUCAUUUCGUGGGUUGACUUAGGCAUACGAAGUUCAUCCCUAGUCUAAGCAUACAGAGUUCAUUCCCAGUCUAAGAUCAGACCGGACCAAUGGUUGCGACCGGGUCGAUCCUCGGCUUACGCAUUCUGCCUCUUCGACCGGUUGAGCACCCGUAAGCCCAUUUCAUGGGUUGGCUUAGGUAUAAGGAGUUCAUUCCAUGUCUAAGCCCUAGCUGGACUGAGGUUUGUGGGAGCAAGACUGGCAGCACACAAAGGGGGACCGGGCCGAUCCGCUACUUGCGCAUUAUGCCUCUCCGAUUGGCUCAGCGCCCUAACGCUCGUUUCAUGGGUUAGCUUAGGCAUAUGGAAUUCAUUCCAUGUUUAAGCAUACAGAGUUCAUUCCCAAUCUAAGAUCAGACCGACAGUAGUGACAGCAGGACCGGUAACAGGAUCGAUAGCAUGCAGGGGGAUCGGGUCGGUCCUCGACUUACGCAUUCUGCCUUUUCGGCUGGCUGAGCGCCCGUACGCUCGUUUCAUGGGUUGGCUUAGGCAUACGGAGUUUAUUCCAUGUCUAAGCAUACGGAGUUCUUUCCCAGUCUAAGAUUGGAUCGGAUCAAGGGUUGUGAUAGUAGGACCAGCAGUAGGAUCGGUAGCACGCAGGAAGGACCGGGUCGAUCCUCGACUUACGUAUUCUACCUCUUCGAUCGGGUGAAUGCCCGUACGCUUGUUUCAUGGGUAGGCUUGGGCAUACGGAGUUCAUUCCAUGUCUAAGCAUACAGAGUUCAUUCCCAGUCUAAGAUCAAAUCAGACCAAGGGUUGCCGCAGCAGGACCAGUAGCAGGAUCGACAGCACGCAGGGGGGGAUCGAGCCAAUCCCCGACUUGCGCAUUCUACCUCUCCGGCCGGCUGAGCACCCGCACUCUUGUUUUAUGGGUUGGCUUAGGUAUACAGAGUUCAUUCCAUGUCUAAGCAUACGGAGUUCAUUCCCAGUCUAAGAUCGGAUCGGACCAAGGGUUACGAUAGCAGGACCAGUAGUAGGAUCGACAGCACGUAGGGGGGAUCAGAUCGAUCCCCAGCUUGUGCAUUCUGCCUCUCCGGUCGACUGAGUGCCUGUACGUUCGUUUCGUGGGUUGGCUUAGGGAUAGGGAGUUCAUUCCAUGUCUAAGCCCCAACCAGACCGAGGGUUGUGGCAGUAGGACCGACAGCGGGAUUGGCAUCACGCGGAGGGUGACCGAGCUGAUCCCCGGCUUGUGCAUUAUGUCUCUCCGAUCGACUGAACACUCGUACGCUCAUUUCAUGGGUUGACUUAGGCAUACGGAGUUCAUCCCCAUUCUAAGCAUAUAGAGUUCAUUCCCAAUCUAGGAUCAGACCGAACCGAGGGUUGCGGUAGCAGGAUCGACAGCAUGCAUGGGGGACUGGACUGAUCCCCGACUUGCGCAUUCUGCCUCUCCGACCGGCUUGAGGCCCGCACGCCGUUUUGAGGGUUGGCUUAGGCAUCGGGAGUUAUCCAUUCCUAAGCCCAGUCAAACUGAAAGGUUGUGGUAGUGGCCUACAGUCACGUAGAAGGGAUCGGGCUGAUCCCCGGCUUAUGCAUAUGCCUCCUGAUCAGCUCAGCGCCCGCACGUCGUUCGUGGGUUGACUUAGGCAAUACAAGUUCAUUCCCAGUCUAAGAUUCGAUAGAGGUGCGCCUAGGUGCAACACGUAGAGGAUGGCCGAUCCUGGUUGCGCAUGCUCUGGCGAACAACACUCAUCUAGGUCGGCUAGAAUGGAAGCAAUCCAUUGCUAAGCUUGGAUUCAACUCCUAAGAUCGACCGAUUGGACGAGCUAGCGCCACGUACUGCUGGAUUGGCCGACCUGCAGCUUCGACGGGCGCACACUCGUUUCGUGGGUUGGCUUAAGCAUACGAAGUUCAUUCCAUGUCUAAGCCUAGUCAGACCGAGGGUUGUGACAGCAUGACUCGUAGUGGGAUCGGUAGCAUGCAGAGGGGGACCGAGUUGAUCCCCGGCUUAUGCAUUAUGUCUCUCCGACCGGCCUCUUCCACCGGCUGAGAGCCCACACGUUCAUUUCGUGGGUUGACUUAGGCAUACGGAGUUCAUCCCUAGUCUAAGCAUGUGGAGCUCAUUCCCAGUCUAAGAUCGGACCGGACCGAGGGUUGCGACAGAAAGAUCGACAGCAUGCAGGGGGGAUCGGGUCGAUCCUCGGCUUACGCAUUCUGCCUCUCCGGUCGGUUGAGCUCCCGCACGCCCGUUUCAUGGGUUGGCUUAGGCAUAGGGAGUUCAUUCCAUGUCUAAGCCCUAGUCGGACCGAGGGUUGUGGUAACAGGAUCGGUAGCACGUAGAGGGGGACCGGGUCGAUCCCUGGCUUGCGUAUUAUGCCUUUUCAGUGGGCUCAGCGCCUGAACGCUUGUUUCAUGGGUUGACUUAGGCAUACAAAGCUCAUUCCCAGUCUAAGAUCAGACGGGACCGAGGGUUGCGAUAGCAGGAUCGAUAGCAUGCAGGGGGGAUCGGGUCGAUCCCCGGCUUGCGUAUUCUGCCUCUCCGGUUGGCUGAGUGCUCGCAUGCUCCUUUCAUGGGUUGGCUUAGGCAUACAGAGUUCAUUCCAUGUCUAAGCAUACGAAGAUCAUUCCCAGUCUAAGAUCAGACCGGAUCGAGGCUUGCAGCAGCAGGAUCGACAGCACGUAGGGGGGACUGAGCCGAUCCUCGGCUUGAGCAUUCUGCCUCUUUAGUCGGCUGAGCGCCCGCACGCUCGUUUCGUGGGUUAGGCAUACAGAUUUCAUCCCCAGUCUAAGCAUACGAAGUUCAUUCCCAGUCUAAGAUUGAACUGGACCGAGGGUUGUAGUAGUAGGAUCGGCAGUACGCAGGGGGGACCGAGCUGAUCCCCAACUUGCGCAUUCUGCCUCUUCGACCGGCUGAGCACCCGCAUGCCCGUUUCGUGGGUUGGCUUAGGCGUAGGGAGUUCAUUCCAUGUCUAAGCCCCAGUCAGACCAAGAGUUGUGGCGACGGGAUCGACAGCAUGUAGAGGGGGAUCGGGUCGAUCCCUGGCUUGCGCAUUCUGCCUCUCCGACUGGCUGAACGCUCGCACACUCAUUUCAUGGGUUGGCUUAGGCAUACGGAGUUCAUUCCUUGUCUAAGCAUACGGAGUUCAUUCCUAGUCUAAGAGUUUGAGCCAUGGUGCAAAUGCUGGGCUCGGGCAUGUGCUGGUGUCACAUUUUUUUCACCCGAGGUACCAUCGCCGGAGCAUCACCGGAUAGCCUAACCGGCGGCAUUGGGGGUUCCGACGAUCGGGGGGCUGGGGGGUGUGCGCAUAUGAUGUGCGAUGGGUGCUGGUACUUGGCCCUUAUAUUGGCCCCCUAUCCCUCAUCAAACCUCAAGAACUCACACCCCCUUAAAGAGCAUUUGGGAUUUUAUAGGUUUGCGGCCAGUAACCAUUAAAGUGUUUGAAAUGGGGACACUUUUUUCAAACGGUCAAAAAAUCUUCUCCACUUCGAGUUUUUAGCUGAAUUUUUUUGUGCAUGCCAACAAUUGUGAAAAGUGAAAAUUGUGAAACUCUUUCUAAAACAAUUUUAAAAAAUCUCGAACCGUAAAAAGUUUUAAAAAUUGUGAAAAGUAGAAAAUGGGUCGUCUUGCCAUGAAACUUCACAUGAAGGGGUAGGGGACAUUGUAUGAAUUUACAAGCCAUAAAAAUGGCAUUGGCACGGCAAAAAUAUGAAUAUGUGCUUGAACCCACCUACCACCCGUUCGAUCCCCGGCUUGCACAUCCUGCCUCUCUGGUCGGCUUAACGUCUGCACGCUCGUUUCCUGGGUUGACUUAGGCAUACGGAGUUCAUCUCUAGUCUAAGCAUACGAAGUUCAUUCCCAGUCUAAGAUUGGAUAGGAUCAAGGGUUACGACUAUAGGAUCGAAAGCACGCAGGAGGGUCCGCCCCGAUCCUCAGCUUGCGCAUUCUGCCUCUCAGACCGGCUGAGCACCUGCACGCUCGUUUCGUGGGUUGGCUUAGGCAUAGGGAGUUCAUUCCAUGUCUAAGCCCCAGCCGAACCGAGGGUUGUGGCAGUGGGACCGACAGCACGCAGAAGGGGAUCGGGUCGAUCCCCGGCUUGCCCAUUAUGCCUCUCCAGUCGGCUCAGCACCCGCAUGUUCGUUUUGUGGGUUGACUUAGGCAUACGGAGUUCAUUCCCAGUCUAAGAUCAGACCAGACCGAGGGUUGCGGUAGCAAGAUCGAUAGCACGUAGGGGGGAACCGAGCCGGUCCCUGGCUUGCGUAUUUUGCCUCUCCGGUCGACUGAGCCCCCGCAUGCUCGUUUCAUGGGUUGGCUUAGGCAUACGGAGUUCAUUCCAUGUCUAAGCAUAUGGAGUUCAUUCCCAUUCUAAGAUCGGAUCGGAUCGAGGGUUGCGGUAGCAUGACCAAUAGUAGGAUCGACAGCACGCAGGGGGGAUCGGGCCGAUCCCCGACUUGCGCAUUCUACAUCUUCGGCCGGCUGAGCUCUCGCAUGCUCGUUUCAUGGCUUGGCUUAGGCAUACGGAGUUCAUUCCAUGUCUAAGCCCCAGUCGGACCAAGGGUUGUGGCAGUAGGACCGGUAGCAGGAUCGACAGCAUGUAGAGGAGGAUCGAGCUUAUCCCAGGCUUGGGCAUUAUGUCUUUUCGGUCGACCUCUCCGACUGGCUGAGUGCCCGCACACUCGUGUCAUGGGUUGACUUAGGCCUACAGAGUUCAUCCCCAGUCUAAGCAUACGGAGUUCAUUCCCAGUCUAAGAUCGGACCAAACUAAGGGCUGCGACAGCAAGAUCGACAGCAUGCAGGGUGGACCAGGGCGAUCCCCGACUUGCGCAUUCUACCUCUGCGGUCGGUUGAAUGCCCGUAUGCCCGUUUCGUUGGUUGGCUUAGGCAUAGGGAGUUGAUUCCAUGUCUAAGCCCUAGUCGGACCGAGGGUUGUGGUAGCGAGAUCGAUAGCAAACAGAGGGGGACCGAGCUGAUCCCUGACUUACGUAUUAUGCCUAUUCGGUUGGCUCAGCACCUGAACGCUCGUUUCGUGGGUUGACUUAGGCAUACAGAGUUCAUUCCCAGUCUAAGAUCGGAUCAGACCGAGGGUUGCGAUAGCACACAGGGGGGAUUUGGCCAGUCCCUAGCUUGUGCAUUCUGCCUCUCCGAUGGGCUGAGCGCCCGCACGCUCGUUUCGUGGGUUGGCUUAGGCAUACGGAGUUUAUUCCAUGUCUAAGCAUAUGGAGUUCAUUCCCAGUCUAAGAUCGGAUCGGAUCGAGGGUUGCGGCAGCAGGAUCGACAUCAUGCAGGGGGGAUCGGGCCGAUCCACGGCUUGCACAUUCUGCCUCUCUGGCCGGUUGAGCGCUCGCACGCUCGUUUCAUGGGUAGGCUUAGGCAUACGAAGUUCAUUCAAUGUCUAAGCCCCAGUCGGACUGAGGGUUGUGGCAGCAGAAUCGACAGCAGGAUCAGCAGCACGCAAAGGGGGAUCGGGCUAAUCCCCGACUUGUGCAUUAUGUCUCUCUGACCAGCCUCUUCGAUUGACUGAGUGUACGCAUGCUCGUUUCAUAGGUUGACUUAGGCAUACAGAGUUCAUCCCCGGCUUACGUAUUCUACCUCUCCGACCGACUGAACGCUCGCAUGCUCGUUUCGUGGGUUGACUUAGGCAUACGAAAUUCAUCCUCAGUCUAAGCAUACGGAGUUCAUUCCCAGUCUAAGAUCAAAUCGGACCGAGGGUUGCGAUAGUAGGAUCAGUAGCACGCAGGGGAGACCGGGCCGAUCCCCGGCUUGCGCAUUCUACCUCUCCGGUCGGUUGAGCGCCCGCACGCCCGUUUCAUGGGUUGGCUUCGGCAUAGGGAGUUCAUUCCAUGUCUAAGCCCCAACCAGACCGAGGGUUGUUGCAGAGGGACCGGUAGCAUGCAGAUGGGGACCGGGCCGAUCCCCGGCUUGCACAUUCUGCCUUUCCAGCCGGGUGAGCGCCCGCACGCUCGUUUCGUGGGUUGGCUUAGGCAUACGGAGUUCAUUCCAUGUCUAAGCAUAUGGAGUUCACUCCCAGUCUAAGAGUUUGAGCCACGGUGCACAUGCUGCACUCGGGCAUGUGCUGGUACCACCUUUUUUUGCUUGGGGCACCAUCACCGGAGCACCGUCGAAGAGCCUAACCGGUGGCAUUAGGGGUUCCGAUGAUUGGGGGGCCGAAGGGGUGUGUGCACAUGAUGUGCGAUGGGUGCUGGUACUUGGCCCUCAUAUUGGCCCCCUAUCCCUCAUCAAACCUCGAGAACUCACACCCCCUUAAAGGGCAUUUGAGAUUUUAUAGAUUUGCUGCCAAUAGCCAUUAAAGUGUUUAAAAUGGGGACACUUUUUUCAAACGGUCACAAAAUCUUCUCCACUUCGAGUUUUUAGCUGAAUUUUUUUGUGCAUUCCAACAAAAAUACAAGGAUCACCUAUACCAAAUUUGGGGACAAAUUUCUUUCCAAAAAAAAUUUUAAAAAAUCUUGAACCGUAAAAAGUUUCAAAAAUCGUGAAAAGUAGAAAACGGGUCGUCUUGCCAUGAAACUUCACAUGAAGGUGUAGGGGACCAUUGUACGAAUUUACAGGCCACAAAAAUGGCUUUGGCAGGGCAGAAAUAUGAAGAUGUGCUUGAACCCACCUACCACCCGUUCGAUCCCUGGCUUAUGCAUCCUGCCUCUCUGGUCGGCUGAGCGUCUGCACGCUCGUUUCGUGGGUUGACUUAGGCAUACGGAGUUUAUCCCCAGUCUAAGCAUACAAAGUUCAUUCCCAGUCUAAGAUCAGACCAGACCGAGGGUUGCGACAGUAGGAUCGGUAGCACACAGGGGGGACCGGGCUGAUCCCCGACUUGCACAUUCUGCCUCUCGACCGGCUGAGCUCCCACACGCCGUUUGUGGGUUGGCUUAGGUAUAGGGAGUUCAUUCCAUGUCUAAGACCCAGUCGGACCGAGGGUUGUGACAGCACACAGAGGGGGAUCGGGCCAAUCCUCAGCUUACGCAUUAUGCCUCUCCGGUUGGCUCAGCACCCGUACACUCAUUUCGUAGGUUGACUUAGGUAUACGGAGUUCAUUCCCAGUCUAAGAUCGGACCGGACCGAGGGUUGCGGUAGCAGGAUCGAUAGCACACAGAGGGGGAUCGGGCCGGUCCCCGGCUUGCGCAUUCUGCCUCUCCGAUCGGCUAAGCCCGCCCGUUAGUUUCGUGGGUUGGCUUAGGCAUACGAGUUCAUUCCAUGUCUAACCAUACGAAGUUCUUUCCCAUUCUAAGAUCGGACUGGACCGAGGUUUGCGAUAGCAGGACCAACAGCAGGAUCGGUAGCACGUAGGGGGGACCAGGCUGAUCCUCGCUUGUGCAUUCUGCCUCUUCGACUAGUUGAGCACCCGCACACACGUUCGUUUCAUGGGUUGGUUUAGGCAUACGGAGUUCAUUCCAUGUCUAAGCAUACAGAGUUCAUUCCCAAUCUAAGAUCAGACCAGACCGAGGGUUGCGGCAGCAGGAUUGACAGCCCGCAAGGGGGACCGGGCUGAUCCCUCGGCUUACGCAUUUUGCCUCUUCGACUGGCCGAGCGCCUGCACUCUCGUUUCGUGGGUUGGCUUCGGCAUAUGAAGUUCAUUCCAUGUCUAAGCCCCUGUCGGACCGAGGGUUGUGGUAGCAAGACCGGCAGCGGGAUUCACAGCACGUAGAGAGAGACCGGGCCGAUCCCCGGCCUGCCCAUUAUGCCUUUCUGGUCGACUGAGCACCCGCAUGCUCGUUUCAUGGUUGACUUAGGCAUACAGAGUUCAUCCCCAGUCUAAGCAUACGGAGUUUAUUCCCAGUCUAAGAUCAGACCGAACCAAGGGUUACGGUAGUAGGAUCGAUAGCAUGCUGAGGGGACAGGGUCGAUCCCCGACUUGCGCAUUCUGGCUCUCUGGCUGGCUGAGGGCUCGGAUGCCCAUUUCGUGGGUUGGGUUAGGCAUAGGGAGUUCAUUCCAUGUCUAAGCCCUAGUCAGACUGAGGGUUAUGGCAGCGAGACCGGUAGAACAUAGAGAGGGAUCAGGCCGAUCCCCAGCUUGCGCAUUAUGCCUCUUCGGUCGGCUCAGUGCCCGCACGCUCGUUUCGUGGGUUGACUUAUGCAUAUCAAGUUCAGUCCCAGUCUAAGAUUAGAUCGGGCUGAGGGUUGUGGUAGCAGGAUCGACAGCACGCAGGGGGGAUCAAGCCGAUCCCCGACUUGCGCAUUCUGCCUCUCCAGUCAACUGAGCGCCCUCACGCUUGUUUCGUGGGUUGGCUUAGGCAUACGGAGUUCAUUCCAUGUCUAAGCAUACAGAGUUCAUUCCAUGUCUAAGCAUAUGGAUUGCUUUUCCAGUCAAAUAUUUUGAGCCAUGGUGCACAUGCGUGGGCUCGAGCAUGUUGUUGGUGCCGUAUUUUUCUUCGCUCGGGGCCCAUCACCGGAGCAUUGGUCGGAGGCAUUGGGGGUUCCGAUGAUUUGGGCGGGACCGGUGGGAGUGUGCGCAGCAUGAUGUGGCAAUGGGUGGCUGGUACUGGUGGCCCUUAUAUUGGCCCCCCUAUCCCUCAUCAAACCUUGAGAACUCACAACCCCCUUAAGAGCAUUUGAGAUUUUAUAGGUUUGCUGCCAGUAGCCAUUAAAGUGUCUGAAAUGGGGACACUUUUUUCAAACGGUCACAAAAUUCUUCUCCACUUCGAGUUUUUAGCUGAAUUUUUUUGUGCAUGCCAACAAAAAAUACAAGGAUGCACCUCUACCAAAUUUGGGAACAAAACUCUUUCUAAAAAAAUUUAAAAAAACCCUGAACCACAAAAAGUUUCAAAAAUCAUGAAAAAUAGAAAACGAGUCGUCUUGCCACGAAAUUUCACUUGAAGGCUUAGGGGACCGUUGUAUGAAUUUACAUGCCAUAAAAAUGGCAUUGGCAUGGCAGAAAUAUGACAAUGUGCUUGAACCCACCUACCACCCGUUCGAUCCCCGACUUGCGCAUCCUACCUCUCUAGUCGGCUGAGCGCCCGUACGCUCGUUUCGUGGGUUGACUUCAGCAUACAGAGUUCAUCCCCAGUCUAAGCAUACGAUUUUCAUUCCCGGUCUAAGAUUGGAUCGAACCGGAGGCUGCGACAGCAAUAUCGACAGCACGCAGGGGGAAGCGGGUCGAUCCCCAGCUUGCGCAUUCUGCCUCUCCGGCCGACUGAGCGCCCGCACGUCCAUUUCAUGGGUUGGCUUAGGGAUAGGGAGUUCAUUCCAUGUCUAAGCGCCAGCCAAACUGAGGGUUGUGGCAGUGGGACUGGCAGCACGCAGAGGGCGAUGGGGCCGAUCCUCGACUUGCGCAUUAUGCCUCUCCGAUCGGCUCAACGCCCACACGCUCGUUUCGUGGGUUGACUUAGGCAUAUGGAGUUCAUUUCAGUCUAAGAUCGGACCGAACCGAGGGUUGCGGGAGUAGGAUCGAUAGCAUACAGGGGGGACCCGGCUAGUCCCUAGCUUGCGCAUUCUACCUCUCCGAUCGUUUGAGUGCCCGUACGCUCGUUUCGUGGGUUGGGUUAGGCAUACGGAGUUUAUUCCAUGUCUAAGCAUACGGAGUUCAUUCCCAAUCUAAGAUCGGAUCGGACCGAGGGUUGCGACAGCAGGACCAGCAAUAGGAUUGCAGCACACAGAGGGGGAUCAGGUUGAUCCUCGGCUUACGUAUUCUACCUCUCCGACCGGCUGAACAUCCGCACGCUCGUUUCGUGGGUUGGCUUAGGCAUACGAAGUUCAUUCCAUGUCUAAGCCCCAGCCGGACCAAGGGUUAUAGCAGCAGGACCGAUAGCGGGAUCGGCAGCACGCAGAGGGGGAUCGGGCUGAUCCUCGGCUUGCACAUUAUGCCUCUCCGGCCAGCCUCUCCGGUCGACUGAGCACCCACACGCUCAUUUUGUGGGUUGGCUUAGGCAUACGGAGUUCAUCCCCAGUUUAAGCAUACGGAGUUCAUUCCAUGUCUAAGCAUACGGAGUUCAUUGCCAGUCUAAGAUCGGACUGGACCAAAGGUUGCAGUAGCAGGAUCGACAGCACAUAGGAGGUGACUGGGCCGAUCUCCAACUUGCACAUUCUGCCUCUCCGACCAGCUGAGCACCACACGCUUGUUUCAUGGGUUGGCUUAGGCAUACGGAGUUCAUUCCAUGUCUAAGCAUACAGAGUUCAUUCCCAGUCUAAGAUUUUGAGCCACAGUGCACAUGCUGGGCUCGAGCAUGUGCUGGUACCACAUUUUUUUUGCUCGGGGCACCAUUGUCGAAGCAUCACCGGAGCAUCGUCGGAGAGCCUAACCGGUGGCAUUGGGGGUACCGGCGAUUGGGGAGGCCGGGGGGGUGUGCGCACAUCAUGUGCGAUGGUUGCUGGUACUUGGCCCUUAUAUUGGCUCCCUAUCCCUCAUUAAACCUCAAGAACUCACACCCCUUUAAAGAGCAUUUGAGAUUUUAUAGGUUUGCUGCCAGUAGCCAUUAAAGUGUCUGAAAUGGGGACACUUUUUUCAAACGGUCACAAAAUCUUCUCCACUUCGAGUUUUUAGCUGAAUUUUUUUGUGCAUGCCAACAAAAAUACAAGGAAACCUCUACCAAAUUUGGGGACAAAACUCUUUCUAAAAAAAUUUUAAAAAAUCUCGAACCGUAAAAAGUUUCGAAAAUCAUGAAAAAUAGAAAAUGGGUCAUCUCGCCAUGAAACUUCACAUGAAGUCUGAGCGCCAGCAUGCCCGUUUUGUGGGUUGGCUUAGGAAUAGGGAGUCCAUUCCAUGUCUAAGCCCCAGCCAGACCAAGAGUUGUGGCAGCGGGACCGACAGCAUGCUGAGGGGACCGGGUCGAUCCCUGGCUUGCGCAUUAUGCCUCUUCGGUCGGCUCAGUGCCUGUACGCUCGUUUCAUGGGUUGACUUAUGCAUACGGAGUUCAUUCCUAGUCUAAGAUUGGACAAGACCGAGAGUUGCGAUAGUAGGAUCAAUAGCACGCAGGGGAGGAUCGGGCCAUCCCCGACUUGUGCAUUCUGCCUCUCCGGCCGGCUAAGUGCCCGCAUGCUCGUUUCAUGGGUUGGCUUAGGCAUACGGAGUUCAUUCCAUGUCUAAGCAUAUGGAGUUCAUUCCUAGUCUAAGAUUGGACUGGACCGAAGUUGCGGCAGCAGGAUCGGUAGCACGUAGGGGGGGAUCGGGCCGAUCCCCGGCUUGGGUAUUCUGCCUUUCCGACUGACUGAGUGCCUGCACGCUCGUUUUCUGGGUUAGCUUAGCCAUACGGAGUUCAUUCCAUCUCUAAGCGCUAGCCGGACCGAGGGACAUGGUAGCAGGAUCGGCGGCAUGCAGAGGGGGACCGAGCUGAUCCUCGGCUUACGUAUUAUGCCUCUUCGGUUGGCUGAGUGUCCGCACACUCUUUUCAUGGGUUGACUUAGGCACACGGAGUUCAUCCCCAGUCGAAGCAAAUAGAGUUCAUUCCCAGUCUAAGAUCGGAUCGGAUCGAGGGUUACGGUAGCAGGAUCGAUAGUACACAGAGGGGAUUGGGCCGAUCCCCGACAUGCGCAUUCUACCUCUCCAGCCAGCUGAGUGCCCAUACGCCCAUUUCGUGGGUUGGCUUAGGCAUAAGGAGUUCAUUCCAUGUCCAACCCCCAGCCGGACCAAGGGUUGUGGCAGUGGGAUUAGCAGACUGCAGAGGAGGAUUGGGCCGAACCCUGGCUUGCGCAUUAUGCCUCUUCGGUCGGCUCAGCACCCAUACACUCGUUUCGUGGCUUGACUUAUGCAUACAGAGUUCAUUCCCAGUCUAAGAUCAGACUGAACCAAGGGUUAUGAUAGCAGGAUCGACAGCAAGCAGGGGGGAUCGAGCCGAUUCCCGGCUUGCACAUUUUGCCUCUUCGACCGACUGAGCGCCCGCACGCUUGUUGCGUGGCUUGGCUUAGGCAUAUGAAGUUCAUUCCAUGUCUAAGCAUACAGAGUUCAUUCCCAGUCUAAGAUUUUGAGCCACGGUGCACAUGCUGGGCUAAGGCAUGUGCUGGUGCCGCAUUUUUUUUGCCCGGGGCACCAUCGUCGGAGCAUCGCCGGAGAGCCUAACCGACGGCAUUGGGGGUUCCGACGAUUGGGGGGGUUGGGGGGUGUGCGGACAUGAUGUGUGAUGGGUGCUGGUACUUGACCCUUAUAUUGGCCCCAUAUCCCUCAUCAAACCUUGAGAACUCACACCCCCUUAAAGAGCAUUUGAGAUUUUAUAGGUUUGCUGCCAGUAGCCAUUAAAGUGUCUGAAAUGGGGACACUUUUUUCAAACGGUCACAAAAUCUUCUCCAGUUUGAGUUUUUCGCUGAAUUUUUUUUUGCAUGCUAAAAAAAAUACAAGGAUCAUCUCUACCAAAUUUGGGGACAAAAAUCUUUCUAAAAAAUUUUUAAAAAAUCCCGAACCGCAAAAAGUUUCAAAAAUCAUGAAAAAUAAAAAACGGGUCAUCUUGCCACGAAACUUCACAUGAAGGCUUAGGGGACCAUUGUAUGAAUUUAAAAGCCAUACAAAUGGUAUUGGCAUGGUAGAAAUAUGAAGAUGUGCUUGGACACACCUACCAUCCGUUUGAUCCCCGACUUGUGCAUCUUGCCUCUCUGGUCGACUGAGGACUCGCAUGCUCGUUUCGUGGGUUGACCUAGGCAUACGGAGUUCAUCCCCAGUCUAAGCAUACAGAGUUCAUUCCUAGUCUAAGAUCAAACUGGGAUGAAGGUUGCGAUAGCAGGAUCGACAGCACGUAGGGGGGACUGGGCCAUCCCUGACUUGUACAUUCUGCCUCUCCAAUCGACAAAGCGCCCGCAUGCUCGUUUCGUGGGUUGGCUUAGGCAUACGGAGUUCAUUCCAUGUCUAAGCAUAUGGAGUUCAUUCCCAAUCUAAGAUUUUGAGCCUCGGUGUACAUGCUGGGCUCGGGCAUGUACUGGUGCCGUAUUUUUUUUGCUCGGGGCACCAUCGCCGGAGCAUCACUGGAGAGCCUAACCGACGGCAUUGGGGGUUCCGGAGAUUGGGGUGCCGGGGGGUGUGCACACAUGAUGUGCGAUGGGUGCUGGUACUUGGCCCUUAUAUUGGCCCCCUAUCCCUCAUCAAAUCUUGAGAACUCACACCCCCUUAAAGAGCAUUUGAGAUUUUAUAGCUUUGUUACCAGUAGCCAUUAAAGUGUUUGAAAUGGGGACUCUUUUUUCAAACGGUCACAAAAUCUUCUCCACUUUGACUUUUUAGCUGAAUUUUUUUAUGCAUGCCAACAGAAAUACAAGGAUCAUGAACCGAAAAAAGUUUUGAAAAUUGUGAAAAAUAGAAAACAGGUCAUCUUGCCACGAAACUUCACAUGAAGGCUUAGGGGACCAUUGUAUGAAUUUACAAGCCAUAAAAAUGGCAUUGGGACGGCAGAAAUAUGAAGAUGUGCUUGAACCCACCUACCACACGUUCGAUCUUAGGCUUGCGCAUCCUGUCUCUCUGGUCGACUGAGUGCCCGUACGCUCGUUUCAUGGGUUGACUUAGGCAUACGGAGUUCAUCCUCAGUCUAAGCAUAAGGAGUUCAUUCCCAGUCUAGGAUCGGAUCGGAUCGAUGGUUGCGGUAGCAGGAUCGGUAGCACGCAGGGGGGAUCGAGCCAAUUCCCGGCUUACGCAUUCUGCCUCUCCGAUCAGCUGAGUGCCUGUACGCCCGUUUCAUGGGUUGGCUUAGGCAUAUGGAGUUCAUUCCAUGUCUAAGCAUAUGGAGUUCAUUCCCAGUCUAAGAUUGGACCAGAUCGAGGGUUGCGAUAGUAGGACUAGUAGCAGGAUCGGUAGCAUGCAGGGGGGGAUCAGUCCGAUCCUCGGCUUGUGCAUUCUGCCUCUCCGACUGACUGAGCGCCUGCAAGCUCGUUUCGUGGGUUGGCUUAGCCAGACAGAGUUCAUUCCAUCUCUAAGCCCCAGCCGGACCGAGGGUUGUGGUAGCAGGACCGACAGCACGCAGAGAGGGAUCGGCCUGAUCCCCGGCUUACGUAUUAUGCCUCUCUGAUCGGCUGAAUGCCCGCACGCUCAUUUCGUGGGUUGACUUAGGCCCACAGAGUUCAUCCCCAGUCGAAGCAAACAGAGUUCAUUCCCAGUCUAAGAUCAAAUCAGAUCGAGGGUUAUGGUAGCAGGAUCGAUAGUACGUAGAAGGGAUCGGGCCGAUCCCCGACUUGCGCAUUUUGCCUCUCCAGCCAGCUGCGCCGCAUGCUCUUUCUUGUGGGUCCAUGCUAACCAACCCAACGCGGACCAAGGGUGUUGGCAGUGGGAUGCAGAAUGUAGAAGGGGAUUGGGUCGACCCCUUGCGCAUUAUGCUCUUCGGGCUCAGCGCCCACAACUCAUUUCGUGGCUUGACUUUUGCAUACGGAGUUCGUUCCCAGUCUAAGAUUGGACCAAACCAAGGGUUACAACAGCAGGAUCGACAGCAAGCAGGGGGGAUCAGGCUGAUCACCGGCUUGCGCAUUCUACCUCUUCGGCCGGCUGAGCCCCCGCACGCUUGUUUUGUGGGUUGGCUUAGGCAUACGGAGUUCAUUCCAUGUCUAAGCAUACGUAGUUCAUUCGAUUUUGAGCCACGGUGCACAUGCUUGGCUCCAGCAUGUGCUGGUGCCGCAUUUUUUUCACUCGGGACAGCAUCGCCGGAGCAUCGCCAGAGCAUCGCCGGAGUACCGUCGGAGAACCUGACCGGCGGCAUUGGGGUUCCGGCGAUUGGGAGGGGGGCCGGGGGGGUGUGCGCACAUGAUGUGCGAUGGGUGCUGGUACUUGGCCCUUGUAUUGGCCCCCUAUCCCUCAUCAAACCUCUGAGAACUCACACCCCCUUAAAGAGCAUUUGAGAUUUUACAGGUUUGCUGCCAGUAGCCGUUCAAGUGUCUGAAAUGGGGACACUUUUUUCAAACGGUCACGAAAUCUUCUCCGGUUCGAGUUUUUAGCUGAAUUUUUUUGUGCAUGCCAACAAAAAUAGAAGGAUCACGUCCACAAAAUUUGGGGCCAAAACUCCUUCUAAAAAAAUUCUAAAAAAUCCCGAACCGCAAAAAGUUUCGAAAAUCGUGAAAAAUAGAAAACGAGUCAUCUUCCAACGAAACUUCACGUGAAGGCUUAGGGGACCAUUGUAUGAAUUUACAAGCCAUAAAAAUGGCAUUGGCACGGCAGAAAUUUGAAGAUGUGCCUAAACCCACCUAGCACCCGAUCGAUCCCCGGCUUGCGCAUCCUGCCUCUCCGGCCGGCUGAGCGCCCGCACGCUCGUUCCGUGGGUUGACUUAGCCAUACGGAGUUCAUUCCAUGUCUAAGCCCCAGUCGGACCGAGGGUCGCGGCAGCUGGACCGGCAGCGGGAUUGGCAGCAGCACGCGGGGGGACCGGGCCGAUCCCCGGCUUGCGCAUUAUGCCCCUCCAGUCGACUGAGCGCCCGCACGCUCGUUUCGUGGGUUGACUUAGGCAUACGGAGUUCAUUCCCGAUCUAAGCAUACGGAGCUCAUUCUCGGUCUAAGAUCGGACCGACAGCGGGAUUGGCAGCAGCACGCGGGGGGGACCGGAUCGGUCUCCGGCUUGCGCAUUAUGCCCCUCCGGCCGGCUGAGCGCCCGCACGCUCGUUCCGUUGGUUGACUUAGGCACACGGAGUUCAUUCCAUGUCUAAG